UACAGAGGGGGCAAGCGUUGUUCGGAAUUACUGGGCGUAAAGGGCGCGUAGGCGGCCCUCUAAGUCGAACGUGAAAUCCCUGGGCUCAACCCAGGAACUGCGUCCGAGACUGGAGGGCUAGAAUCCGGGAGAGGGAUGUGGAAUUCCAGGUGUAGCGGUGAAAUGCGUAGAUAUCUGGAGGAACAUCGGUGGCGAAGGCGGCAUCCUGGACCGGUAUUGACGCUGAGGCGCGAAAGUCAGGGGAGCAAACGGG
rnacentral:rRNA from 1 species